ACAGCAGCAGCAGCAGCAGCAGCAGCAGCACUGUGGCUCAGCUCCUAACUUGGCAGAUCCCAGUGAGGCGGAACAAGCUCUACCAGGGAGAAAUGCGACUGCACAGGACAUCCAGCAUCUAGGCCGGCGAUUGGUAUUCUGCAGCAGCUGCCUCACAGAGCCUGGAGAGCUCCAGCAAGGAUGGGCCGGAACUCCAGCUGCUGAUUAUUCGGGAUUUUUCUGUAGACAAGGGUAUGUCAUCUGCAAAUAGAG